rnacentral:tRNA from 1 species
GCGGGUAUCGUAUAAAGGCCAUUACUACAGGUUUCCAACCUGUUAAUGGGAGUUCAAUUCUCCCUACCCGCU